GUAGGUGGCAAGCGUUGUCCGGAAUUAUUGGGCGUAAAGCGCGCGCAGGCGGUUCUUUAAGUCUGAUGUGAAAGCCCACGGCUCAACCGUGGAGGGUCAUUGGAAACUGGAGAACUUGAGUACAGAAGAGGAAAGCGGAAUUCCACGUGUAGCGGUGAAAUGCGUAGAGAUGUGGAGGAACACCAGUGGCGAAGGCGGCUUUCUGGUCUGUAACUGACGCUGAGGCGCGAAAGCGAGGGGAGCAAACAGGAUUAGAUACCCUGGUAGUCCACGCCGUAAACGAUGAGUGCUAAGUGUUAGGGGGGUUUCCGCCCCCCUUAGUGCUGCAGCUAACGCAUUAAGCACUCCGCCUGGGAGUACGGCCGCAAGGCUG
rnacentral:rRNA from 1 species